GUGAUUGAUUUUAUUCUUUUUCCUCUCUCUCUUUCUCUCGCGAUUGUAUCUCCGAAACUAGAAAACAAAUUGGAAUCAGAAGAUUCAAGGUUUGGAAUCGAAGGACCAAUUGCUUCAGAGGAAAAGAUUGAAGAAAUUGGAAUCACAUGGUUGUUUGUGGAAGCGAUUUUUAUUAUCUGAUUUGAAUCUGAGCAUCCCUCCCUCGGCUUCUGCAUUUUCCACUCGUUUUCUCUACUUUGCUUCUUCGAUUAGAGAGGAGAAGGAAACAUAACUUUUAGGCAUAGAAGCAAGCAUUUUGACAACUAAAUCAAAGAUUGCUCCAAGAUUUUCCAGCCUUGAUGUGCUUAAGUUGCAGAGAGGACUUUAUCAAAGAUGAUGUCUGCUACAACAUGCUGAAUGAGUUGAAGUGCAGCAAUGUCUUUGGUUUUAAGAGCCUUCCAGUUUCCAGUAUUUUUUCCCUUUUUCUUUGGUUUUGAGUUUUAUGUAGGUUCGGCUUGUUACUGCAUCUUUGACAGCAUCCCAGAGAUCUUUUUUAAUGAGUGUAGUUUUCAUUCUUGCAGACCAGAACUUGUAACUUAGGCAAAGACUGCAAGAAGUUGAGAUGAUUGCAUGUUCAUCACCAUCUCUCUUGUUUUCUUUUCUGGUUUUUUCUUUGGUAACUUUUGUUCUGACUUUCACUUUUUCUUGUUUCUUGCUUUAACAGGCAAAGGCUCCUAGGAUCAAGUUGAGCUCUGAUACCAUGUUGAACUCUUGCUCCUAAUUUCUCAAGCAUUGUGUAGCCUCCAUUGUCUGCCAAUAUGGCUGCAAUGGUUCUCAUGUCUACAAAUUUCGACGACUCCAAGGAUUUGGAUACAACGAUCGAAAAAGUUUCUAAAUGUUCUACAACUUUCAUUCAAGUCUACCGUGACUAUGGAGGGGGAGAGAGAGAUAGAUGUACAUGAUUUUAGAGAGGAUUCUUGCCUUGUGUAGAAAGGAAAAAUAAAAAAAACAGAACAGAGCAGCUUCAUACUUGUUUUUUGAAAUAGGAAUGGAUAAGUUCUUAGCUUUGGUUUAUGUACAGUUGUUACUGCGAUAUAUGAAACAUAGAGACAACUGAAACAACUGAUUGGUCUUUUUUUUCAACUUUUAAUUCCUAUUUGUCUAAUCUCACGAGUCUU